CCAUCAUCAAGGCUUGGGUGCGGCAAAGUUCCCUGAGGGUUCGUUUGAACCCCUGGCCAAUUCCAGGCACCCAAAGAUGUCCCAAUUGGAGAGUUUCAAACAUUGGAAGCCAGCCUUAGGCAUUAGAGUUCCAUGGGUGCUCAAUGCUCCCAUGGCAGUGCUUACACCAAAGGGGCAGAACCUAGGGUUCUAAGAGUAGUGAAGUUGUGACAGGAUUUUAAAAUAGUUGAGAGUCAGUUUAAGAAAAGAGUUGAGAAACAGUUUGAGAAAGUAGUUUAAGAAAGUUGAGAAAGUUGAAAGGAAUUCUUUUGAAAUCAUUUGUACUGACUAGUUUAAAACAGAGCAUCACACAAACAGGGGCAAAGGAAGGGGGAACAGAUAAGUACAGGGACCUAAUCACACACAGGUAAACACAAAGAAGGUAGGUAAUCAAACACAGUUGCAACAAACAAGGGGUUUCAGUUCUUACUGCACCAAACCCCAAAUACUUAACCUCAUGAAGAGGUUUUAAGACUAAUCAAGUAGCCAAGCAGCAACCCUGGACACAUGGUGGUAAUACACAAGGAAAGUAAACAGAUCCCCCAAAUACUUAACCUCACGAAGAUCUUUUAAGACUAAUCAAGUAGCCAAGCAACCCUGGACACAUGGU
rnacentral:lncRNA from 1 species